rnacentral:rRNA from 1 species
CAGUAGCCGCGGUAAUACAGAGGUCUCAAGCGUUGUUCGGAUUCAUUGGGCGUAAAGGGUGCGUAGGUGGCCAUGUAAGUCUAAUGUGAAAUCUCGGGGCUUAACCCCGAAAUUGCAUCGGAUACUGCGUGACUAGAGGAUUGUAGAGGAGAUUGGAAUUCACGGUGUAGCAGUGAAAUGCGUAGAUAUCGUGAGGAAGACCAGUUGCGAAGGCGAAUCUCUGGGCAAUUCCUGACACUGAGGCACGAAGGCCAGGGGAGCAAACGGGAUUAGAGACCCCGGUAGUCCCUGUCUCUUAUAC